rnacentral:lncRNA from 1 species
UUCUCGCAUCUUCUCAUCCACCGGGGCCACCCCCACCUUCUCUCGAAUAACUUUAUUCUUAAUCUUAUCUAACCCGGUGAGCCCGCACAUCCACCUGAGAAUCCUCAUCUCCGCAACCUUCAUUCUCUGAACAUGAGAAUUCUUCACUGGCCAACAUCCGCCCCAUACAACAUGGUAGGUCUAACCACAACUCUAUAAAAUUUCC